GACGAACGCUGGCGGCGUGCCUAACACAUGCGAGUCGAGCGAAUGAAGUUCCUUCGGGAACGGAUUUAGCGGCGGACGGGUGAGUAACACGUGGGCAACCUGCCUCAUAGAGGGGAAUAGCCUUCCGAAAGGGAGAUUAAUACCGCAUAAGAUUGUAGUACCGCAUGGUACAGCAAUUAAAGGAGCAAUCCGCUAUGAGAUGGGCCCGCGGCGCAUUAGCUAGUUGGUGAGGUAACGGCUCACCAAGGCGACGAUGCGUAGCCGACCUGAGAGGGUGAUCGGCCACAUUGGGACUGAGACACGGCCCAGACUCCUACGGGAGGCAGCAGUGGGGAAUAUUGCACAAUGGGGGAAACCCUGAUGCAGCAACGCCGCGUGAGUGAUGACGGCCUUCGGGUUGUAAAGCUCUGUCUUCAGGGACGAUAAUGACGGUACCUGAGGAGGAAGCCACGGCUAACUUCGUGCCAGCCGCCGCAGUAAAAC
rnacentral:rRNA from 1 species